rnacentral:lncRNA from 1 species
CAAAAUUGAAAAUUUUAUUGUAUUUUUUAUUAUAGUAUUAUUUAUUUUAAAACAAAAUCUCAACUAUCUUAUUGGAUUUUUCAAAGAAAAUUACAUAUGCUGGAGCACUUUCAGGCUGGAUUACCCUCUUCAACUUCACAAAGAAAUUGAAUGUUAACAGAAAAGAAAGCAGAGCAUUAUGAUUUAUAUUUUAUUUAAAUCAUAAUACAAGUUCUCAAAUGUCAAGGAAAAUUACAGAAGCAAAAGACAAAAUAAAUUGUACACUUCAAAUAAUAAAAUGUUGUUGUGCAAAAAAUAACUGAGAUAAUGCAGUAAUAUUAUUACUGUUGAAGCUAACUGAAUUUCAAAAGCCAUCAGUGCAUUGAUUAUUCAAGAAUUCCUAGGCACUAGGAAUAGAAACCUUAUCUCUGAAUUUAAUCAGAUUUUUAUUCUGGCUGUGAAGGUAAAUGUUCCAGACUGUGAAAGUUAAUCACCAUUCUGAUAAACACAAGUCAAAUUGUAACAUCAUCCUAUUUAAUUAUCAAGUUUUUAGAGUAGGCCACUGAACUGUAGAACUAUACUUUUCUUCUUAUUUUUUACAUCAUUCAGUGCUGUCAUAUAUGUUCUUCUAGAUAUUAUCUGAUUAUUCUUAUGUAAUGGCUUAUCAUACUGGAUGCUGGUGCUGAAUUGAUUAGUGGAAUUUUGUAUACUCUGCACUUCUCUGCAUUAAGCUUAGCUUCCUUGUUAUGAGUCCAAACCUAACAAAAAUUCUGAUGGAAAACUAUAGCAUUUCUUUUUUUUUUGAAAAUGUGAUAAGCAUAAUUCCUGUUGACUUCACUAAUAAUCUCACAGUACAUGGAGUACCUUGGAAUUGACAGGAAUUACCUUACUAGAGUCCCUGCUUGGUAUGGCAAUUUUGGUAGAAGUGCAGAUUUACAUUGCAUUGCAGAUCUUAUGGGCUAGACUACUGAAUAUAGUGUUGUGGUAUCUGUGGAUCAAGAAAGUUUUCUUGAGAAAGCUCUUUUAUCAUACUCUCUCUUCUGAACAACACUUACAGAAUCACCAAAUGAAUGUGGCAAUAUUAAUAUUCUUAUAUUAUGUUAUAUCUUUGGAACAUUUGUGAAUUGGAUGAGUUUUCUGCUAAGUUUCCUGAAUUUAGAGAUGGAAAAUAGAUUAGCCUUUCAUUGUGAUAUAUAUAUACAGUCCGUAUCAAAAUAAUAGCC